GUGGUAAUGCCGGAUGUUCCACAUGAUCGCAUGUGAUUGUGGGAAAGAUUCUAUCGGCGUGGGAUGGGGUCGCGUCCUAUCAGCUUGUUGGUGAGGUAACGGCUCACCAAGGCUUCGACGGGUAGCCGGCCUGAGAGGGCGACCGGCCACAUUGGGACUGAGAUACGGCCCAGACUCCUACGGGAGGCAGCAGUGGGGAAUAUUGCACAAUGGGCGCAAGCCUGAUGCAGCGACGCCGCGUGAGGGAUGGAGGCCUUCGGGUUGUAAACCUCUUUUGUUUGGGAGCAAGCCUUCGGGUGAGUGUACCUUUCGAAUAAGCGCCGGCUAACUACGUGCCAGCAGCCGCGGUAAUACGUAGGGCGCAAGCGUUAUCCGGAUUUAUUGGGCGUAAAGGGCUCGUAGGCGGCUCGUCGCGUCCGGUGUGAAAGUCCAUCGCUUAACGGUGGAUCUGCGCCGGGUACGGGCGGGCUGGAGUGCGGUAGGGGAGACUGGAAUUCCCGGUGUAACGGUGGAAUGUGUAGAUAUC
rnacentral:rRNA from 1 species